rfam:Triticum aestivum genome assembly, contig: Triticum_aestivum_CS42_TGACv1_scaffold_031568_1BL
AACAUACUCCCUCCGUCCGAAAAUACUUGUCAUCAAAAUGGAUGAAAAGAGAUGUAUCUAAACCUAAAAUAUGUCUAGAUACAUCCCCUUUUAUCCAUUUUAAUGACAAGUAUUUCCGGACGGAGGGAGUAUUAC